UUUCACUUUUUGUAAAACGUAGUUUUCUCAUUCAGUAAGUGUCCAGUAAUCUGUGUUUGCAACGGGUGAUUUCGGUUUUUACAAUAAUACCAUUGACAAUGGGCGUUUAAAUAAAAUUGUACUCUUUCUCCUUAUGAGACCUGUUUUUUAAAAGUAUUAAUAAUAAAAUACACUGACUAAUAUAGUAUAGUAUCGUCAGAAAAUACGACAUAUCUGAAGAUGGCUGCAGAAUGGGGCAGCCUGCCUCUCCUCUCACUGAGAUGCGUAUUAGAUCAUUUGAGUACAGAGGAUGCUCUCGCUGCAUUGUCCACUUGCCGUCACUGGCGUAGUGCCAUUUUACUAUAUGAGGGUCAAAAAGAAUUACUCAAGUUAAAUGUGAAAACCCUUGAAAGAAACCUCUUUGUUACGAGGCUGUUCAAGAAGUACACUAGAAGACUCCACGUUAUCAUCGAUAGCGACAACAAGGAUUUAGAGAACUUUAUGAAUUUUGUCCUACCGCAAUUCUUUGAUACGAUGAACUUGCAAGAAUUAGUAUUUAUAGGACCCGUUUACCUUCAACAGAAGAACAUUAUAUCAGCGUCGAAACUAAAUCGAAUCAUCACUGAGAGUUUAAUGUUUAAGAAUUCUCACUGUCUACAAAGAUUCACUUUAUUGGGUUGUACCAUGGCACCGGUGAAGAAUGAAAACGACAGAUACACUCAUAAAUAUGUGGAGUAUUAUUCGAGACCACUUACAUUCAGCGCCGUUUCACCCUUCGAUACAGUUUUUUCGCAUUGCAACGCUGGUUUGAUGGCCUUCUCUUCAUUACGACAACUAAUCUUCGAUUUUGACCUGAUGAGUACACAAACACUGCAGACUCUCAGUCUUAUGGGUCAAAUAACAGACCUCACGUUGACAAUUGGACAAAAGCGGCCCGUCAAUCUACCACUGGUGGAUUGGAACUACGCGAACCGUAACUUACGUGUAACCUUGAUAGUUAUAACAGUCCCACACUGCAUGAUGAACAUGGUGAUUGAGGAAGUAUUCAUCGAGGGCUUACCAUUAUUCUCGUUGAAGGUUUUGUUCUGUGAAACGUUGCACGUGGGUAUCCUACAACGCGUUGUACUUAUGUACAAGGAGACGAUACGCGAAUUCGUUUGGAUCGACUCGCCGGGCAACACUGUCGACGUCUGCGGCAGGAUUAUCAAACAUCACCGGGAACCCACUGAGUUUACGAUGUCUAACGUGAAUCCGAUUAUAUUAUUAUGCUGGCAGUGCACUCAAUUAAAAAGACUUGUCAUACAUGGUUACUGGGUGUGGCAAUACGAUCUUCUAGGCAUAGUUCGCCUCCGUAGGUCCCUGCAGGAUCUGGAAAUAUCUGCCAUAUACGAUAGACAAAGUCGCUUCACUACAGCCACACGCAGCGAUCACAUGGUACGGGUGCUGGCCACCGACACGCAGAAGGUCCUCGAUCCUGAAUAUAUACAACAAGUGAACUCGUAUACGGAGUUCGAGUGGGUGCCCGCGCUGUGGGAGCAACUCCACCCCGCCCUGCGCCCGCGAGCCACCGUCGCACACCGCAUCGACUACGUGCUGCGGGAGAGCCUGCGCCCCGCCGUGCGCACGUGAGUGUCCCCUCCCCCCGCGCCCGCAUCGACUACGUGCUGCGGGAGAGCCUGCGCCCCGCCGUGCGCACGUUUUAGAAUGGAAUUCGAAAAUGAUCUCAAGAUUUAAGAUGCAGGUUAUCAACGGUUACCAGCAACGGACUGUAGUAAGAUCUUUAAUAUAUAAUAUUCACUCGGGUCUGUGAGACUUACUGGAAUGUUUUUGAAAUUGGUGUCAUAUUUAUAGGCCACGAAGGCUUUACAUUAAACGACAACUGUUGUUUGUCGCAAAUGUUUACAACUUGUAAUUUUAGGUAUCUUUUUGAUAUUCAUGUAUUAAAAGAAUUGCAUGAUAAACAAAGAUUGAUUUACUAAGAUUUAUUUUACAGCUGCGGAGUGUAAGACCCAUAAUGUUGUUUUGUACUGAGAUCGGAUAUACGAAUGAUUUUUUUUUAUAUAAAAAAUUAUACCAGUUCUUAUCGUAACGAUCAGUAUUGAUUAUGCCAUUUUAAAACAUCAAUAUUGAAAAGAUAUUGUUGAUUGAAUCUAAAAUUGGUUUCGGGUUCUCAAAUUUAAAUUCAUUAUUAAGUGAAAUAUUUAGAUAUAAGAAUUAUAUCGUUAGAAAUAUGUCGAUUACUUCUGUCUAUCGUUUUUAAAUAAUUUAUCUUAAAACAUUCUUUUAAGGUAUGCAAUAUUAAAAAAAAAAUUGAUAUAUGUAGGCCUAAACGACUUCUCCUCGAAUAUUCGCGUUGUAUUUUUUUUUAAAUUGCAUUUCCUCAUAACUAUUAUUAAAAUAUUUAAUUAGCAAAAGUUCCUUUAUCUAGAAUUUACUGGUGACCUAAUAAAGUUCAUAUUAAUUAAACGUGCACUUAGUGAAAACGCGAUAACUUCAUAGAUGUUUUACGCUUGUAAAUAGCUUUAAGUUUUUCAAACUUAGAAGAAAAAAGUAAAAAAAAAUCUGUGAAAAUUGUAUCCUAUAUAUAUCAUAAAUCUAAAUAAUAAUGGCAUUCAAAAGUCAUAGUAAAAGUCAAUUUUCACAAAAUUACUAACAGAGUGUAUAUGUAUAAAUAUAUAUUUAAUCUGUGGUCAUAAAUUUGUCUAUGGUAGAACAUUAAUUAAUUUAUUAUUGUGACCAAAAAGUUCUAUCAUUAAUGAACGAAAUAAAGUGCUAUCUUAACCUUUUGUCAUAUCAACGGUAGCAAAGAAAUUAGUUAUACAGGCUUAUGAAUACAGAUUAAAUUAUAAAACUUCGAAAAAAAUAGAGUUUCUUAGUAAUUUCUAAUAUGUAUAAAAAAAAAUUGAGAAACGCCGAAUGAUAUGUUUACUGGCAUCAUCUCUCAAAAAUACGAAUUUAUCGUAGUUGAAAUUCAUGAUAAAAAAUUUAAAAAGUUAGUAUUCCCACGCCAAGGGUUGUAUAAAACGGUUGAACUGAUAUUAUCUUCAAUACAAAUAUAUGCGAUAAAAUAACACGAUGCAAAAACAAUAGACUAUAUAGAUUUGGUUAAUAAAAUGAAGCCAACAGUAUUUGUAUUCAAAUUCAAAAAUAGAUUUAGACUCAUUAAACUACAAAUUUCAAUAGUAAAUAAUUCAGUCUUGUAGUUUUUAUAUUUAUGACCACUACAAAUGGAAUUUUUAUAUUGGUAUCUUUUUCAUAGUAUUUUGUCGUAUAAGUCUUCGCCAUUGUUUUUUUUUUUAUCAAUAAAAAAAAGUUUCAAUAUAUUCUUACGAUUACAUUACAUUUUCGAAUAUCCAUAAAAACAUAAGUGACAUUUCAUUUUUAUUGGCUUAAGUGUAGACGUUUUAAUGUUAUAUUUAUAAAAUUUUAUUUACGCUGUGUUCUUUGACAGAUAGUUCGCGCCAGUUUUUAUUAUUCGUAGGUGAAUCAUUCUUUUUUUUUUAAUGAUCACUAAUUUGGUUGACGAAAGUCCGAAUAAAUAAGGCUCUUGUAUCGGUUUUAAAAUGAGAUAAACUGUAAUUUGUAACUUGGCGUGGUGGUAAAGAAAAAAUUCGCAACAUCUAGUCAGAACCGUGGGACAUUUGUACAUAUAUUAUAUAGAAUAACGCGUUUACCUGCGGUAUUAAAGAUCGAUUUGCACAAAAUGUAACGAAGUAUUACAAAAAUACAUAUUAUAAUUUAUAUCAUCUCUAUAGCUUUAAGAGAAUAAAAAUCUCAAUACUGUAUCAAAUACAGUUAUUUUUAUCAUACGUGCCACUCUGUUGUUGCGAUGAAUCUAGUUUUUCUCCGAGGAACUUGAAUGUUAUAUAGGUGGAAUGUUAUCUUUUAAGUUAAAACACAAUUUCGUAGUUAACAAUGUGAUUUUUUUUUUUUACAAAUAUAAAAAAAGACAUUGCAUUUAUCAUUACAUUAUCGACCACGAGAGUGAAGAAAAAAUACUUAAAUUACAUUUUAUUUCAUACGAACGAUUAAAAUUCGAAAUUCACUAUACCUUGUAUAUUAUAUGUUUAUUUAUAUGAAACAGCCGAUGUUGGUAUAGUUUUAUUUCAGUGAAGUCAUAUAUAGUCCGUCCCCAGCGCUACACGAUUGCGUUUAUAAAUACACUGACUAAACAAAUUGAAGCGGCUUUAGCUUUCCUCAAUAACAAUACAAGGAGUGCAAAAAAUGAUAAUAAAUAUAUAUAUCAUAGUCACGCACAAACAUUGUGAUCUUAUGAAUAAACCCAAUUAUUCAAAAGUACGCCUUUUAUUAUAGUGUACAAAAAAAAAUUAUAUUCGUACAUUAUCUUCGAUUCUCGUAAUAUUAAAUUGUGCUAAAUAAUUAUUGUAAUCGAAAAAUCACUUUACUAGGCCAAUUUAUUUGUAUUAAAAGAAAUUGCUUCAAGUAGGUUAUAGUACUAAGUACUUUAGAUAAAUAAACUCACUAAAUUACUUGGAAUAAAAAAAAGCAAUGGUUUCUUCAAAUAUUUUUUAAGACAUUUAUAAAAAGUUCGAUGCGAAGAACAUAUAUUGUAAGGCAACGAAGAGACUUACCAACAUACAUUCCCUGAGACUGAGAACAAAUAGAAGAGGCUUAGAUCAAAUAAGACCUUAAUAUGUAUUACAAAAUAAUAUUAAGAACAACGAUGGUGGUCAUUGCAAAAGUGGAUAGCGUACAAUAAUAUUUAUUACUAUACUCUGUAUAAUAUAAACAAUAUCAAAUAUCAAAAACUAUAUUAUUAAAAUAGGAGUUUAAUAAAAGACUUACAUAAAAGAAAUACAUAUAUUUACCUAUUUAAAAUAGCCGUAAUUUAAAUGGGAAAAAAGUCUCUGUUUAUCAAACUUAUACCACUUUUGUUUUGACAGCCAUAAUUGACAACUGACAUAUAUAUAAUGAAAUGUGAUAGAAAUACAAAUGACAACCGUAUUUUAAGAACAUUAACAAAGGAAAAUCAUUCCCGCCUCUUGUUUAAAUAAUUUUGUCUCUGCCAAAAAGACAGCUUUAAAAAUAUUACACUUUUGUUAUAUCGUCAUUGUUUUGAAGACGGUACGCAUCUCUAUUAUUAACAUUAAUCGAUAAACACCAAAGAUGUAAUAGUUUUGCGUACUCAUCUCGAUUCCAAAUAUGGCAGAGACUUAAAAACAAAGACUUCAAUAAGGCUGUGAAACAACUUGAUUCGGUUCGGCUAAUUUUUUAAACAUUGUGAAAUAAGAGUUGUUGGAAAAAUCAGUUAACAGCAAAUAGUACGAUAUUUAUGAGAUCGUUCUCGUUUAAAAUAAAUAACUUUUCUAUAGCAAAGUAAUUGAUCGUGUUAAAACAUUUUUUGGUUUUACUUAUAAACGUGCUUUGUGUUUUUAGUUAAACACUGACUGAUCUCUUUCCGUCAUCAUUUAUUUGACAUUUGAAAGGAGAAGACAGCAAUGUUUGACCAAUCAUCCAAUGAGCAUUAUUUAUAGGUGAAGUCGUUAAUUUGCAGCUAAAUGAACUUUAGUUGGUUAACUGAUUUUUCCAAUACAAUCAAUAGACGAAGGGCAUGAUAUUUUUUUAACCCACCUAAAAUAAUUUGUAACGAAUUUUAUGGUAUUUCAAUGACGAACUUUAGGGCUUAUGAUUAUAAGCGUAUGCCCUUUGUUGUACUAUUCAUUAUGCCUCGCUGUGACAAUGUUGCUAUAUUACAAAUAAAUAUAUUUACAGAUUUUCUUUUCGACAUUUCGCGAAACAUACCUGAAAAGACCUUCGAAGAAAUUUUGAGACAGAAAUUUACAACAUGUAUCGUUUUAAAAUUAUCUUAUUGUAUUAACAAAUGACAAUAAAAUUAUCAAAAAGUUUCUGUAGUAAAGUUUUUUCAUUCGAAAUUUCUUCGAGGGAUUCAUACAAGUCUGACGUUGUCACUGCGCAAGUACUAAUGAAUACAGCUAACCGAAUUGCCUAGAAUUAGAUCAAAAUUGUAGUACUUAUGCAUCUUCUAGUGAUAAUAAAGGGAAUGUGGAGGAGUAUUAGGAACAACAAGUGUUACAAGCUGUUAUCAGAGUGUGUUAAGAGGCUCACUUUCAUUUUUUUUUUUAUUAUCUAUGAUUUAAUUGUAACAGAUUAUGAAGCGUUGACGAGAGUGAGUCUAUUUUGUAUAAUAUUUUUUGAGAGUUUAUUUAUGUUUUAAGAUCUUAAAA